rnacentral:rRNA from 1 species
AUUGAACGCUGGCGGCAGGCUUAACACAUGCAAGUCGAGCGAGCGGCGGACGGGUGAGUAAUGUCUGGGAAACUGCCUGAUGGAGGGGGAUAACUACUGGAAACGGUAGCUAAUACCGCAUACCAUCAGAUGUGCCCAGAUGGGAUUAGCUAGUAGGGGGGGUAAUGGCUCACCUAGGCGACGAGCCCUGGCUGGUCUGAGAGGAGGACCAGCCACACUGGAACGAGGACAGGGUCCGGACUCCUACGGGAGGCAGCAGUGGGGAAGAUUGGACAAUGGGCGCAAGCCUGAGGCAGCCAGGCCGCGGGUGUAAUGAAGGCCUUCGGGUUGUAAGGCACUUUCAGCGAGGAGGCGUUACUCGCAGAAGAAGCACCGGCUAACUACGUGCCAGCAGCCGCGGUAAUAC